rnacentral:rRNA from 1 species
CGUGAGAUGUUGGGUUAAGUCCCGCAACGAGCGCAACCCUUGUCAUUAGUUGCUACGAAAGGGCACUCUAAUGAGACUGCCGGUGACAAACCGGAGGAAGGUGGGGAUGACGUCAAGUCCUCAUGGCCCUUAUGGGUAGGGCUACACACGUCAUACAAUGGCCGGUACAGAGGGUUGCCAACCCGCGAGGGGGAGCUAAUCCCAGAAAACCGGUCGUAGUCCGGAUCGUAGUCUGCAACUCGACUGCGU